UACGUAGGGGGCUAGCGUUGUCCGGAUUUAUUGGGCGUAAAGAGCGUGUAGGCGCCAGGUAGGUCUGCUGUGAAAACUCGAGGCUCAACCUCGAGACGUCGGCGGAAACCAUCUGGCUAGAGUCCGGAAGAGGAGAGUGGAAUUCCUGGUGUAGCGGUGAAAUGCGCAGAUAUCAGGAAGAACACCUAUGGCGAAGGCAGCUCUCUGGGACGGUACUGACGCUGAGACGCGAAAGCGUGGGGAGCGAACAGG
rnacentral:rRNA from 1 species